GAUUUGUCAGUGCAGGCGCAAUCUCUCGGUUUCUUCGAUCACGUUGCUUGGGAUGAGAAACCCAGAGCGUGUUCGGCUCUCGUUACAGCUGCACUGUGGAUUUCGUCGCGAGUUAUCUCCUCCAGGUAUAUGGAGCGGUGUUCAAACUUUUAUAAAAUCCCCAGGGAGAGAUUAUAGCGAAGCGAUUAUGUACAGCACACACCGGUGAGCGAGAAGCUGUCUGCCCACACGUGUCUUCGACCUCGUGACUAUUUAUGCGUUAUACGGAUGUAGCAUAUGCAGGCAGAAUAAAAUACGUGCAAAAUGCAUGAAAACUCA